rnacentral:rRNA from 1 species
CAAUAGCGUAUAUUUAAGUUGUUGCAGUUAAAAAGCUCGUAGUUGGAUUUCGGAUGGGAUUUGCCGGUCCGUCGUUACGAUGUGCACUGGCCAGUCUUAUCUUGUUGUCGGGGACUAGCUCCUUGGAUUCACUUCCUGGGACUAGGAGCUGACGAGGUUACUUUGAGUAAAUUAGAGUGUUCAAAGCAAGCCUACGCUCUGAAUACAUUAGCAUGGAAUAACACGAUAGGACUCUGGCUUAUCUUGUUGGUCUGUGAGACCAGAGUAAUGAUUAAGAGGGACAGUCGGGGACAUUCGUAUUUCAUUGUCAGAGGUGAAAUUCUUGGAUUUAUGAAAGACGAACUUCUGCGAAAGCAUUUGUCAAGGAUGUUUUCAUUAA